UACAGAGGUCCCGAGCGUUGUUCGGAUUCACUGGGCGUAAAGGGCGCGUAGGCGGGAUGGCAAGUCAGUCGUGAAAUCUCUCGGCUCAACCGAGAAACGUCGGCUGAUACUGCCGUUCUUGAGGGAUGCAGAGGAGACUGGAAUUCCCGGUGUAGCGGUGAAAUGUGUAGAGAUCGGGAGGAACACCGGUGGCGAAGGCGGGUCUCUGGGCAUUACCUGACACUGAGGCACGAAAGCUAGGGGAGCAAACAGG
rnacentral:rRNA from 1 species